UAUGUACUUGCUGCGAGGUUCACUGCAAGCCUCACUAAUCCUUUCAGCUCCUUGUCCUUUGUCAGACACAGAGAUGUGUACAAGAGCAUGCAACAAGACUUUUCUUCAACAUACCAGCGAGCUCUGGAUUUAUUUUUCCCAUCUAUGACUGCUGGAAAGGAUAUGUCAAAAUUGACAUUCAUUGGAUUUAACGAUGUCUGUGUCAUCUGAAGGAAACAGAUACAGCAGAAGGCUGAAGACCUUGGAUAUUCUUUGGAUCAUUCCCCACUUGGUAUACUUUUGUGAUGUCAUCAAGAUGAUGUCUGAGUAAGCUGAUCAUUAUCAAUAUCCAGAAUGGGAUGCUCACCAUCCAAAGGAAACAAUUUGGUGGCUCUGGGCUCUUUGAGGCGGGGAAGAAUGUUGCCCUCUGCACCCGAAGAGCAGCCCAGAGAAGCGCAUUUUAAAAAUGGAGAUCAUCAUAAGUGUACUGGAGCUACUGAUGGCGACACUAAAGACAAAAAGACAAGUGGACAUAAACAGGUAUUUCAUAAGGAUUUAAAUAUGCCACCCCAAGAAGAUACAUAUGCAACUGUGCCUGUCCCGGAGAUACUUGAUAAGGACAAAUUGAAGAGUCAAAGAAUGGAGAACAGCACAGUGAUGCAGAAAAAAGACAAAACUAGGGCCAAGCAGGGAGACCCGGACAGAAAGUUGGGAAAAAAAACAAGAAGAAGUUCCAGAGGUGUGAAAGCGCUGAAAAAUAAAGAAAAGGAAAUGCCGAAAAUUGAUUUCCCCGAGCCUCUGGUAAAAGCUCACCAAGCUGCUUAUGCUUUUUUAAAUCCCAGCAUAAACAAAUAUGACAUUAUACUUGGUCUGCUGGAACAAGCAACUCAAACCCAAACAUUUCUGCAGCCAAUGGUUUCAUUCAUGGCUUUGCGUUUUGAAGAAAUCAUUCAAGCCCUGGAAGAAAUUGUUGAGGAAGGAGAAAAAAUGCUCAAAGAAAAUGGAGAACAUCUUGCUUGGCCAAGUCAAUUGAAAAAGCUCUCAUUUGCUGCACCUUUCAAAUCUGGCACAGCUAUUGAACACCCGCCUGAUUUGUUGCAGCAGCUGCUUCAAUACACCACACAGAGAAUGCAGAAUGUGAGUCAGACAGUUGGAGGAAUUGGGGACUCUGCCCUGGAAGAGGCGGUGGAAUACUUUGCUUCAGUCUCAGAACUUUUAGAGGAGAAGCUGAGAGUCAAGCGUGUAGUUGAGACAAGGAUAAUGCGACUCACAUCUCGCAUUGAAUUGGCAUCUCUUCGCAAACUUGGGCCUGAGGACUCUGCGCUCUUUAGUGAGGAUAGUGGUAUUGGGGCUGAAAGUGAAUCUCUCACCGGAUCGGAAAAGCACCAUAGGCGUGUGAGUUGUGAAUCUGGUGGCACGAAUAGAACCGCUCCCUUCAGCCCGAUGGAAUCUACCUCAGUCACAGGAGGGUCGGUGAAAAAGCUUGCAAAUCAAAUAAGUCCAAGUGUUUCCCUCACUUCGUUGAACUCAUUAGCUUCUAUGUGCACAAUGAUGGCCAAUGUGCAGGGGGACUCAUUCCUGGGAUCAGUCUCUUUGGAUGAUGGCGAGGAAGAAGAUGAUGAGAAUUAUAAGAUGGAUGGAGAAACUGGAAAAGGGCAACUCAGGAUGAGAAAACAAUCAAAUUCUUCACUUGUCAAUUGUGAGCAACAGAAGCCAGGGCGUCUACCCUCCAAGCGCGUAGAAAAUGCGAAAAAUGUAGAAAUGACGAUCAAAAUGAAAAAUGCAAUAGGUGGCAAAAUGCAGUUUGUUCACCCAGCAAGUGCUAGUCCCAAACCAAAAGUAGCAGGUAGUCCAAAAACGGGUAGAGGCCAAAGGACUGAUGAAAAGGGAACAUCUCUAAAGCGAUCUCAAACAACUACUCGAAGAAGUGGGGUGAAAACAACACCCCUGGCGAAAGAGAGGCGUUCCCGUUCUGCAGAAUUCUUGCGCAGCAAAGGGGAAGACCCUCCUUUGCCUGAACUGGAAAGGUCUCAGAAAAAAAUAGGCCAGAAAUUGCAGAAAAUAAACAAAAGCAAGGAAAUCACAAAGGGAGCCACAAGGACGUUAUCAUCUACACAAGACCAGAGAAUUUCACAAGCUGCUUCUCCAAAAAUGAACCCAAAAUGUUCAUCUUUGGAGAACGAUGGCAAUUUACGCGAAAGGGUAGCCCCGAUGAAGUGCAUUACCAAAACCUCUGGAUCAACCACUAAUACGGAGGAAGAUGACAAGCAAAAAGAUAAGGACACACAGAAAGGCCUUGUUAAAGCAACACCACCUCCCAGCCCCCCUUUGUCACCAAGGCCAUCUUCAGGCCUGUGUAGAGGCAGGAAUUCGGUCAAAAAACUCAUAGAUACCUUCAGUCAAGGGAUAGAAGAGAUGGACAGCCUAAAAGUUCUGGGGCCACUGAGGGGGGUACGGAAGUGUGGUGUUCCAGUGUUGCCAGGUUUAGGAAAUGUCACAGCUUUCCUUAGCACUGGGAAGACGAGCUGUAGACCUCAGAGUACUUCAUCUGAAAAGACGGAUCCUUUAGACCUGGAUAGUCUACCUCCACCCCCAUUAGAAGUUUUAAUGGACAAUUCAUUUGAAAGCAUUGUUUCAGGCAGUGGAGGAGCUGAAGCGGCGAUAAAAUCGGUGAAAUCGCCGAUGGUAAAAAGGGCUGGUCUGUCCCAGCGACUGCGAGCAUCAGUUAAAUCUGGACCAGUGUUACCUAGCAAAGGAGGUGUGCCUAAUUGUUCUAAGGGAAUUUUUCCUGGUGACUUUGAUAAUCAAGUCACAACGACCCAGGCCAUUGUCAGUCAACCUGAUGUUAAGACAGACAUUGACAAUGUAAAAGAAAAAAAAUCCUCUCUGUUGCAAGCCAGAAGAAACAGGUACUUAAAACACUCUUCAGAUACACGUUCAGAGAAAUCUUCAACAAAUUAUGAAGCGGCAUGCCAAUCUGCUAGUCAAGAGGACUCAACAGCUCUUCGGGAGAUUGACAACCUCUUAAUGGCUGGACUAAACACUACAGUCCCUCAAGUGCCUCCCUCAUCUGAAACCAGUUGUCAUCCACUUGCCACUUCACUGCUGUAUAAGGGGCGAAUUUUGCCAUCUACACCGACUACUUCAAAGUCUUCCCAUAGAAGACUUCCAAGUCCCCACAAUUUUAAAAAGUCACCAACACCACCAUCUUCAGCCACUCCCCCAGUUAACAGGAACCUCACUACUCCACCAGAAGGUCAACAAAGCCUCCCCAGUCCACCAGUUUUGCGGCAUAAUGUUUUCAACUCUUCAUACCCUUUGAAAGCACCGUCUCCACCCGCUUCCCCAAAAGUGCAACGGUGGUCAAGAGAAAACAGCACGGAAGAAUCUGCUCGGUUGACGAGUAAUGCACGUUCUGUUUUCUGCCCGAUUUCUGCAUCCCUGUUCAAGGCCCAGCCCUUUAUACCCUCUCAUCUGUCUGAAGCCUGGACCACUGUUGGAGGCCCUCUUCUCUCAAAUACCUGCGGCAAACGUGGCAGGUCUUCCGCGUCAGUCCGAGGACCGCAACCUUCUAUUCGCCGAAGUCUUUCAGAAAGAAGACCAAGUUUGAACUUUCCACCUCAAUCCCCUGUCCUCUCAGUGGCUGAGACCUGCGGAAGUGAGCCUGCAAUAUGCACACAGGGUUCAUGGUGUAGUCUGCCUUCCACCUGAAGUCAGCUGGUACAGGCUCCAGCAACUCCCCGCGACCCUGUUCAGGAUAAAUGGAUGGAUAAAAUGAGUUGAACUGGAUGAUGAACCAGCCAGAAAAGAAGAAUCAUGGGGUAGCCAAUCAGACCUCAGGGGAACGCCACGUUCUGCAUCCCACCCAGAUCUUUACAUUGUUGGACAGGCCUUGCACACAGACUAAAUUGGCCUGUGAAAUGCCAGCAGGAUUAUAGAUUAACAGGUUUUAGAAAGGAUUUAAGAUGUCGCUUCAGUGGAGUGACUAACCUUGCUGCUACUUCGACAAUGUUUGCGUACAUUAUUUAAGCAAAUGCCAUUUGAGCAUGAUGUGCUCUUUAUGUUUGAGCAAAAAUCCAAUUCAUCAGCAACUUUUCGAAGCGAGGCUUCUUAUUCAUUUUAGCUCAUAAUACAGAAGCAUCUUCGAAAUGCAAUGUACAUUCAUUUCCAAUUAAUUGACUUAUUUUUUUAAUGAUUGAAAAUAAUGCUUAAAAUCAUUUUCAUAUACAGUACAUAUUCAAAAUGGUUUUGAUUUUAAUUUUACUAAUCAUCUUGAGUCUAUUGUACUGUGUUUAUCAAUAAAAAUGUGCGCAAUGGUCCGA